GCUCUUUUUUGGCCAUGUAACUCGCCAGCACCUUUCUCUCCCUAACCGGCGGGCAAGCUCUUCAGCUAAUGCUUGACCAGGUGGAUCCCCAUCAGUUGCCAGUAUAAUGCGAGAUGUCUUUUCCAGAUAUUCUUUGCAGUUCCAAAGAUACUGAUACUUUGUGUCCUUCUCUACAGGCGGCAAAUCUUUAUCUGAAAUAGAUGGAGGAGCGCCAUCUGGAACGCUCACACAAUUCCGAAAUCCUGCUUCUUCCAUAGCAAGCUUGUCCAUCUCACCUUCGACAAUAAUGAUAUCACUCGCAUGUUUUAAGUCAUCGAGUCCAUAAAAUAUUCUUUCAGUA
rnacentral:misc_RNA from 1 species